GACGAAGGGGGCUAGCGUUGUUCGGAAUUACUGGGCGUAAAGCGCGUGUAGGCGGUUGCCCAAGUCGGGUGUGAAAGCCUUGAGCUCAACUCAAGAAAUGCACUCGGUACUGGGUGACUAGAGGACCGGAGAGGAUAGUGGAAUUCCCAGUGUAGUGGUGAAAUACGUAGAGAUUGGGAAGAACACCAGUGGCGAAGGCGGCUAUCUGGACGGUUUCUGACGCUGAGACGCGAAAGCGUGGGGAGCAAACAGG
rnacentral:rRNA from 1 species